rnacentral:rRNA from 1 species
UACGGAGGGUGCAAGCGUUGUCCGGAUUUAUUGGGUUUAAAGGGUGCGUAGGCGGCCAUAUAAGUCAGUGGUGAAACCCUUGGGGCUUAACCCAAGGAGUGCCAUUGAUACUGUAUGGCUUGGGUUAUCUCUGGGCGGGCGGAAUGGAUGGUGUAGCGGUGAAAUGCGCAGAUAUCAGGAGGAACACCGAUGGCGAAGGCAGGUCUCUGGGCAUUAACUGACGCUGAGGAGCGAAAGCAUGGGGGAGCGAACAGG